UCACCUUCUACCAAGGGGUGGCUCCACAUCAGCAAGCAGAUGUGUGAUUCCUGAGCUAUCCAGGCUGCCACAUUCCCUGAGAUCCUACAGAGGGGAAAGUAAAACAACAAAGCCAUUGUCAUGAUUCUUUACCGGUGACUCCUGCCAGUGCUGCCCCGAGCUGUGGGUGGGCUAUGGGGACAGCUGCUACCUCUUUUGCAAGGAGAGAAAGGACUGGAAUUCCAGCCAGGAGUCCUGUGCUGCAGAGAGCUCAUCUCCUGGUGAUCAGUGACACCCAGGAAAUGGAUCCACACAUUGGAGUUCUCCCCAGCAACAGGAGCAAUGGGGUGCUCAGCCCAGUCUCCACAACUCAGGAGCUCCUGGUGUCUCAGGGCUGGCGGUGGAUCCAGGAGCAGUAAUAGCAACUGAGCAUCUCUCUCUGCAGAACUAUGGAGCUCAGGGUACAGCCAGGCCUCAGCUCUUCUCCACAGCAGUAACAGCAGCAGAGCAUCCCUCCCUGCAGGACAUACAGAUACUGCCAAUCCUCUCAGUUCCUGGCCUUCACGUUCCUCAGAAGUAGUAGCAGCAACUGCCAGGGCUCCAGCACCCACUGAGCAGGGCUGUCUGGGCACUCAGCAAGGAUGUCAGCUGUGAGGAGACAGCUCACAGAGUCUUCCCACUGGCAGCUGUCACAGCCCAGCAAUACAGUGUCCUUGCCUGCAGGGACUUGAUGAAGAGGUUGAGUUGAGGAUGCAUCCAGUGCUUGGGUUGAGUAGACCUCCUGGGGCCAGGCUGGGAGUGCAGGAGGACUGCGGGGAGGGAAUGAGGUUCUGCUGGAGGCAAAUGUCACUGAAGGAUGAGCUUCCCUGAGGAGUGUUGUGGGAGCAUAAGAGCACUGGAUUAGGAGCAUCCACUCCUCACCCCCACAGCCUUUUAGCAUAAUCCCCUGUCCCUCCCUUGCUCCUGGGGACUGCAGAGCAGUUCUGGUGCUCCUUACAGCAGACAUUCUCUCUGUUACUCCCCGCCUCCCCAAACAGCCCAAGAGUAUCACGUACAGUGAGGAGUUUAGAUUCAGACUGCAAAAUCCCUUGCUGAUUUGCUAACAAAUGUCUCCCACAAAAAGUAUUGACCCCAUUGCUCCAAAGAAUAGCUGAGGGAGCUCCCACAAUCCACCUGAAUAAUGAGCUAGAGGGCAUCUAUUCUUCUGUAUUUAUAUAUUGACAAAAUAUCAGUGUGUUAUCUGGAAGGGGGUGCAGGUGCUUCCCUUUGUGUCUGCUCUGGCAUAGAGCAAUGCCCUAUGUCACGGCUUUCUGAAGAUUUCCCAUAGCCCAAGCCUUGCUCUGACAUGCCCACCCCCCAACUUUGUGUCCAUCCCCCCCGCCAUAAGCCCCUCCAUUCUGGGACCUGUUACCAGGUUGCUUUGCAGAAGGUGUCAUGCUUCCCUCCUCUUCAAAUGCCGAGCACUGCACUUGUGUCCAGAGGAGUAGCAGAUGGGAUCCAAGCCAACAGUACAUCUGUAUAGAAUGUAUAGUACUGUAGUAUAGUACUAUAGUGCUGUACUUUGCAGGGCCAGACAGUACAUCUGUAUAGAAUAUGCAUCAGAGUGGUAACAGCUCUCCAUUCCCACUGAGGCAGCAUCCUGAGACCAUGUGCCAAAGACGCAACUGUCCAGGGCCCCAUCAUACCAGGCACACAAUGGCAUGAUCACAAACAGGAACAAUGGCAGAGGAAACACAACCCUCCUCAGCAGGAGACAGCAGUGACUGACCCUUCCCAGGAACCUGCCCAGCAGUUCCUUCAGUGCCCACCUCUGCUUCAGGAGAGCCCAGCAAUCCCCAGCAUCUUUGGGUGUUCAAAGGAGCACUGGCCACCCUCCUGCAGCAAAUUUCCUGCAGGAGGCUUUGGCUUCUUGUUGCAGGAGCCUCUGCUAAUCCCAUCUGCAUUUCUUCCCACCUCCCUGCCUCAGGGCAACAGGCACUGAUUCCAAGGUCCCCACUCAGAAACUCAAGGUUUGUCCCUCAGUAGAGUUAUGGCCACUAAGUUUAAGGCGUGAACCGAAUUUCAUCAAGUCUGGGCAGCAGAUCUGGAGAGACUCUUACUGUAGUUUCAACCAGAUUUAGUUGAGCCUGUUGGUGACUUAAACUGGGGCAAAAUAAUGCCCUCCUAACCAAAAUAGGAGCAUCUACAUUACACAGGGGUGUGAACCA